rnacentral:rRNA from 1 species
UACGUAGGGUGCGAGCGUUAAUCGGAAUUACUGGACGUAAAGCGUGCGUAGGCGGUUCGUUAAGUUCGUUGUGAAAGCCCCGGGCUCAACCUGGGAAUGGCAAUGGAAACUGGCGGGCUGGAGUAUGGCAGAGGGGGGUGGAAUUCCGCGUGUAGCAGUGAAAUGCGUAGAGAUGCGGAGGAACACCGAUGGCGAAGGCAGCCCCCUGGGCCAAUACUGACGCUCAGGCACGAAAGCGUGGGGAGCAAACAGG